UCCCUUGCUUCAGUGGAUAGUGAAUGGACCCCCUCCACAAAUGUAGGCUCUUCAGCUAGAAACAUAAAUUGUCAGUGUCUUCUUAUUUACUUACAUUCAUCUUGUGAUUUCUGCUUUGUAUUGUUUUUUCCAUACAAUUGCUAUUUUCCAAAGAAAAAACUUUCAUGGCUUGCAUGUAACAAGCAACAGUCCCCGAGAAACAUAGUUCAAAAUGUAGGCAUUCAAGUGUUUAACACCAUCAAUUAGUAAACUAUUUCUCUUCCUUAUACAGUCAAGACAUUGCCUUUUUAACUCUUCUUUCAUCCUGCCCUGACAAGAAAAUGAUGACUUAAUGAUUUUAUCUGGAAUUAUCAUGUUGUAAUUUGCAUCAAUGA